rnacentral:snoRNA from 1 species
AGCCUCCUGGUGUUUACCACAGGCUGUUUCUUACACUGACUGCACAGAAAGAGGAGGGAAAGUAAAUGUACCAUGUACACCUCAGAACAGGCCAUGUGCCUAGUCUGUACUGUGAAUGGGGAGACAUGG